AAAUAGAUACCCGGUAGUCCACGCCGUAAACGAUGAGUGCUAAGUGUUGGAGGGUUUCCGCCCUUCAGUGCUGCAGCAAACGCAUUAAGCACUCCGCCUGGGGAGUACGACCGCAAGGUUGAAACUCAAAGGAAUUGACGGGGGCCCGCACAAGCGGUGGAGCAUGUGGUUUAAUUCGAAGCAACGCGAAGAACCUUACCAGGUCUUGACAUCCUUUGACCACUCUAGAGAUAGAGCUUCCCCUUCGGGGGCAAAGUGACAGGUGGUGCAUGGUUGUCGUCAGCUCGUGUCGUGAGAUGUUGGGUUAAGUCCCGCAACGAGCGCAACCCUUAUUGUUAGUUGCCAUCAUUUAGUUGGGCACUCUAGCGAGACUGCCGGUGACAAACCGGAGGAAGGUGGGGAUGACGUCAAAUCAUCAUGCCCCUUAUGACCUGGGCUACACACGUGCUACAAUGGGAAGUACAACGAGUUGCGAAGUCGCGAGGCUAAGCUAAUCUCUUAAAGCUUCUCUCAGUUCGGAUUGUAGG
rnacentral:rRNA from 1 species